rnacentral:rRNA from 1 species
CAAUAGCGUAUAUUAAAGUUGUUGCGGUUAAAAAGCUCGUAGUUGGAUUUCUGCCGAGGACGACCGGUCCGCCCUCUGGGUGAGUAUCUGGCUCGGCCUGGGCAUCUUCUUGGAGAACGUAGCUGCACUUGACUGUGUGGUGCGGUAUCCAGGACUUUUACUUUGAGGAAAUUAGAGUGUUCAAAGCAGGCUUUCGCUUGAAUACAUUAGCAUGGAAUAAUAAGAUAGGACUUUGGUGCUAUUUUGUUGGUUGAGCCUAAAGUAAUGAUUAAUAGGGAUAGUUGGGGGCACCUGUAUUGCGUUGUCAGAGGUGAAAUUCUUGGAUUUACGCAAGACAAACAGCUGCGAAAGCGUCUGCCAAGGAUGUUUUCAUUAA